UCCUGGGAAAGCGAAAUGGAGGGGUGUGUGUCUAACCUAUUGGUCUGCAACCUGGCCUACAGCGGGAAGCUGGAGGAGUUGAAGGAGAGGAUCCUGGCAGAUAAAUCCCUGGCUACUAGAACUGCUCAGGACAGCAGAACUGCAUUGCAUUGGGCAUGCUCAGCCGGACAUACAGAAAUUGUUGAAUUUUUGUUGCAACUUGGAGUGCCAGUGAAUGAUAAAGACGAUGCAGGUUGGUCUCCUCUUCAUAUUGCUGCUUCUGCUGGCCGGGAUGAGAUUGUAAAAGCCCUUCUGGGAAAAGGUGCUCAAGUGAAUGCUGUCAAUCAAAACGGCUGUACUCCCCUGCAUUAUGCUGCUUCCAAAAAUAGGCAUGAGAUUGCUGUCAUGUUACUAGAAGGUGGGGCUAAUCCGGAUGCUAAGGACCAUUAUGAGGCUACAGCAAUGCACCGGGCAGCAGCCAAGGACACUUAGCCUGUGAUGAAGAGAGAGUGGAAGAAGCAAAACUGUUGGUGUCCCAAGGAGCAAGUAUUUACAUUGAGAAUAAAGAAGAAAAGACACCUCUGCAAGUGGCCAAAGGCGGCCUGGGUUUAAUACUCAAGAGAAUGGUGGAAGGUUAAGCAGCUUGGCUGUGUUCUUACUUUGUAUGUUUUGUUGUUGUCUCCAGUGUCCUGGAAACUAAUAUACUUGUACACAAGACAUCAUCUAUCAAUAAUGCAGUUUUCUCACCUUUAAGGUCUUAUAAACAUGUUGACCAUUGUUCUUGUUGAGAUAGUCAUUCUGAGCUUACAUCUUGCUUUCCAGGCAUUGAAUAACUGUUGCGAUUGUUCUAUUGUUGUCGUGUACUAUUCUAUAUUGAAUUUUGGUUAAUUUU